rnacentral:tRNA from 3 species
AAGGGAGACCUAAUUCAGGUAGGAGACGAAAAAAAAGUAGUCGCUACCAAGAAUCAAUCCCAAAAGGUCGGAGCGAGGCGAAAUUGGCUUUCAAACUAGGUUCUGGGUUCAAACAAGACCUGAAUCAGGAACAAGGGCUAUUAGCUCAGGUGGUUAGAGCGCACCCCUGAUAAGGGUGAGGUCCCUGGUUCGAGUCCAGGAUGGCCCACCUGCACAGGUGGCAAAAACAAGAGAAGCGAGGAAUCAGCACCUUAUCUUACUGACAUAGUAAGAGAGAAUGCUGGCUCUGAGUAAAGAGUCCAGAGGAACCUUGAAAACUGCAUAGAGCUAGGUGAAAAAGCCAAAAAAGAAGACCGCAA